rnacentral:lncRNA from 1 species
UUAACGUAAAUAUUGAAAAUUUAACGGUAUUGAAAUACGGAAAAUUACUGGUACUUCGCUCCAAAGGUAUGGUACGACCUUACUGUGACGAAUAUGUUAGCUUGGUGGACCUGGAGCCUUCUUAUAACCAUGGCAGGAAUUUGGAUGUCGACGACUGACGAGCAUCCUCGGAAUCAGUCGUUGGAUAAGAAUGCAAUUGGGAAAACUUAAAGGAAAUAGAGUUUUCCGUUAUGAAAAUGGUGAAAACAGCGGAACAAAAGUUGGUCACAUGUGUACAAGAAAACCGAUUUUUCAGGAAAACCGCGGGAAACAGAAUCAUGAUUUAUAUUAUAUUUUGGCAAACUGGGCAUGACCCUUCAUUUAACAGGACUUCCAAGGCAUUUGUGGUUCUUUACUGUCCUAAGAACAACCAGGGCUGAAAAUAAUGAAGUCAACAGAGAACUAGGUAUAACCUAUAAGAAAUCGAACCUAUCCGUGGAACUAUCAGGCUAGAAACCUUUAAGUUAGUUUCUUUAUGUAUAUUUACAAUUACAAGCCCCUCAUGACUCACAGGUAAAGUUUAAAAUGUACCUUUGUUAUGUAAAUUAUAAAUUUAGAGGUUAAAUGUUAAUGUGACAAAACUAUCUAAGUUUUCUCAUAAAAUACUGCCUGGGCUAACCCUUAUUACUAUAAAAUAAAGACAAAAUCUUUUAACUUCGUUACACUAUUCAGCCUUUCAACGCCAAAAGAACCGGCCACCUAAUUCUGCACUAUUUGGAUUUACAGGAGUCAAAAGUAUUGUAUCUUUUGUUCCUAGGAAAAAUAGUGCAGUGUUGUUAAUAUUAAGUAUGCAUCAUUCCAAUACAAUGGUAAAUGAAAAGCCAUAGAUGGAAAAAUUCUACAAUGAGAGUAAAGCUGGGGUGGACUCAUUCGAUCCGCAUGUUACAAAAGAGAGAAAUCAGAGAAAUCCGCAUGUUACAAAACUGGCACAAGAACUCGUAGUACUUGAGGCCAUAUACUAUGGCUUCGCAUUUUAGACAUUGCAAGAGUAGAUUUUAUGUAAUUUUUAAUGGAGUUCAACAAAAUCAAAUAUUGGAAACAAACCCAUUUUUAACUACUUUAGGUCAAGAACUUAUUAAGGGCAAUUUGACUCGCAUAGCUCAGCAAAAGUGUUAACCGAGAGAACAUCGUGGUGGAAUUUUCUAAAGUUUCCGGAAUUCAGGAACCAGUGCCUGCCGCAAAUCCAGAUCCACAACGAGGAAAAAAGAGGGAAAGAAGUAACAUAUAUCUUUAUUAAAAAAAAGGUUAAGGUGCGAUAACUGUCAACAAUUUUUUUGCAAGUCAUGUCAAAGUCAUGUCAACAAAGAGGGGAUGCAGAAGUUGCGUUCCAAUUCAAGCUUAGUAUAGUACCAAUUGUAACUUAGUAGAGCUUCAUUAAACACAUACAUAUAUCCGGUGGGUGAUCAGGAAAAAGGGAGCACUUAACAACUAUUUUUCUCUUCAAGAUAAACAAAUGAAAUUUGGUCUUAUUGAUAGAAUUGUUAUAAGAGCAUCUUUUGACAUAUUCGGUUAUUUUCCGCCACUUCCUGUUUAUCCGGAAGUAUUACAAAGUAUUACGUAUUUCUAUCGGAAUACAUAAUAAUAUACCAACAUUUAAAAUAAAAAGUUAGUGUCACUUCCAGGUGACGGAAAACAACUGAAUAUGUCAAAAGAUGCUCUUAGUUGCACAGGUUUUUGAUCCACUAGGACUAAUUGGUCCAUUGAUUAUAAGGAAUAAGCUUCUACUACAGAUCCUUUGGAAGGAAAAAUGAGGGUGGGACGAUAAGGUCUCAGAGGAACUUUUAUUGGCAUGGAUGAGUAUACAAAAGGACUUUGAGAAAAUAAGGGAUAUUAAGGUUGAUAGGUAGCUUAUUUGCAAUGAUUUCACAGAGGUUCAAUUGCAUGGUUUCUGUGAUGCAUCACAGAAGGACUAUGGUGCAUGUAUUUUCCUCAGGACAGUGAAUUCGAAUGGCAGUUGCCGUGUAAGUUUACUACGUUCUAAGUCUCGGGUCGCUCCGCUGAAAGUAAUAUCACUUCCAAGGUUAGAACUCUGCGGUGCAUUGCUCUUGACUAAGCUAGUACAAUCAGUAUUACAGUCCACUGAGCUAAAACCUUCAAAAAUCAAUUAUUGGUCUGAUUCAUCCAUUGCGUUAUGCUGGCUUGCCAGGGAGCCAUCAACUUGGACGACUUUCGUGGCGAA